rnacentral:rRNA from 1 species
AUUGAACGCUGGCGGCAUGCUUUACACAUGCAAGUCGAACGGCAGCGGGGAGGAGCUUGCUUCUCUGCCGGCGAGUGGCGAGCGGGUGAGUAAUACAUCGGAACGUGUCGAGAAGAGGGGGAUAACCACCCGAAAGGGUGGCUAAUACCGCAUAAAUUCUGAGGAAGAAAGCUGGGGACCUGGGAAUAGGCCUAGCGCUUUUUGAGCGGCCGAUGUCGGAUUAGCUAGUUGGUGAGGUAAAGGCUCACCAAGGCGAAGAUCUGUAGCGGGUCUGAGAGGAUGAUCCGCCACACUGGGACUGAGACACGGCCCAGACUCCUACGGGAGGCAGCAGUGGGGAAUUUUGGACAAUGGGGGCAACCCUGAUCCAGCCAUGCCGCGUGUAUGAAGAAGGCCUUAGGGUUGUAAAGUACUUUUGUUAGGGAAGAAAAGUCAGCUGUGAAUAAUGGCUGAUACUGACGGUACCUAAAGAAUAAGCACCGGCUAACUACGUG